rnacentral:rRNA from 1 species
UACGAAGGGGGCUAGCGUUGCUCGGAAUCACUGGGCGUAAAGGGCGCGUAGGCGGCGUUUUAAGUCGGGGGUGAAAGCCUGUGGCUCAACCACAGAAUGGCCUUCGAUACUGGGACGCUUGGGUAUGGUAGAGGUUGGUGGAACUGCGAGUGUAGAGGUGAAAUUCGUAGAUAUUCGCAAGAACACCUGUGGCGAAGGCGGCCAACUGGACCAUUACUGACGCUGAGGCGCGAAAGCGUGGGGAGCAAACAGG